rnacentral:rRNA from 1 species
CCUACGGGAGGCUGCAGUGGGGAAUAUUGGACAAUGGGGGGAACCCUGAUCCAGCCAUGCCGCGUGUGUGAAGAAGGCCCUCGGGUUGUAAAGCACUUUCAGUGAGGAAGAACGCCUGGUGGUUAAUACCCAUCAGGAAAGACAUCACUCACAGAAGAAGCACCGGCUAACUCCGUGCCAGCAGCCGCGGUAAUACGGAGGGUGCGAGCGUUAAUCGGAAUUACUGGGCGUAAAGCGCGCGUAGGUGGCUUGAUAAGCCGGUUGGGAAAGCCCCGGGCUCAACCUGGGAACGGCAUCCGGAACUGUCAAGCUAGAGUGCAGGAGAGGAAGGUAGAAUUCCCGGUGUAGCGGUGAAAUGCGUAGAGAUCGGGAGGAAUACCAGUGGCGAAGGCGGCCUUCUGGACUGACACUGAUACUGAGGUGCGAAAGCGUGGGUAGCAAACAGGAUUAGAUACCCGAGUAGUC